CACUUUAAUCGAAAAAUUCACCUUCAAUUAUCGUGUGCUGCAGUAUAUAGAACAUUUCCAGAGGAACCAUGUCUGGAGUCAAGGGACAGAAGAAAUGCCCAGAUCCAUGCCAGGAUCCAUGCCCAGAGCCUUGCCCACCACCAUGCCCACCACAGAAAUGUCAGGAUCCAUGUGACCCAUGCCCUCCUCCACAAUGCAAAGAUCCCUGUAAACCAGCUCCACAGCAGUGUCAGCAAGACGUGAAAUAUGUGAAGAAGUAUUAAUAAGAAGAGGCCACCCGAUGAUGGAAACUGUCCACUGCUUGACCAAGAUAAUUCCUGUAUACCCCUCAACUCCGUAAUGAGAUUAAUUCUAUUGCAGAUUUUACGAUUUCCAUGAUAACAUCUGCAUUUGCUAGUUAAGAUGCACUUUAUGCUUACUCACUAUGCCAAUAAAUCAUAAUUAAAAGGGAAUAUCUAAAA